AGGUACAUCUUUUUGCAACAUGACAGUGCAUUUUCCCACGAAAAAACGGACAGUGCAUUUUUCGAGGAAACUGGAAAGAAGAACAAAAACCUGACUGGAAUAAGAAACAAGGCUAACACUAAAGGAAGUGCUUGUUUGAAACUUGUUUCUUGAAUCACGAAGCUGGGAGAAUGCUGCAGACUUAGCUAGCACGUGUCUUUCUCAUUUUUUGUUUUUUAUUUCAUAUGGCAUCACUAAUUGGCCGUGUUGCCUUGGCCGUCUUCAUUGUUCGCUAACUGCUCAAUCCAGUUGGGAUCAAUUACUAGGAUAGAACUUAGGAAAUGAUCAUGAAAUCUCUUCAGACAGAAGGCUCAUAUUGCGGUGCAAUUGGCUGUCGUAAUCGGAAGGGAGGGAUGCGCCAUCUAUCGUUUCACCGUUUUCCCAUUGAUCCAGCAAGGUCGAGCCAGUGGGUGCAGCUCUGUCAGCGGGCGGACCUAAUUGACAAGUCCCCCGAGUACCUCUAUGAAAACAUCAGGCUGUGCUCAGAACACUUUGAGCCUUCUUAUUACUAUCCGGGUGGAAGCAGGCGGCUGAAACGUGACGCAGUUCCCACCAUUUUUAAUGUGUCCAACCCGCCAAAGCCGGUCACAAUUCGAAGACUCUCGCCGGUCCAACAGGCCAGUCCUGUGAAAUAUAUUGAAAAAGAGGCUGUGCAACUCCCUAUCAUUGACUGGAAUGGGAUCGAUAUUGUGUUCUCAUCUGAGGACGUUGACAUACGGCUACCCGUCUCGGAUGGUAAUACCUGCUCGGAGACAGGAGGACCCGCUGAGACUUCUCAGGAAGCCAGUUCAUCCAAACCCACGGCUGCCAGUCGCAGGUGACACCAGUCAAACCGGGAGACCAGGUGGGGCUAUGCCCAAGGCUCAGAAAACGUCUGCUCGAGAGCCAGAAUGUGAUGGACGUUUAUCAGGCAAAUACUUCUGCCAGAAGUGAAAAAAAAUAAACAAACGGAUGUGUAUCAGCGAAUAGACGCUGGCUGCUUCAUUUUUUUUUCAACAACGCAUAAGUCUACCGGAUUACAAGCGUCGUGAGAUCGUUUUCGUGGGUGCGAGCUUGCCCUGUAGCUGUUCGUUCAGUAGUUAGUACGCCCCACUGUUUUGGUGUUUAUACACUGUUGCUAAAACGAUUGACC